rnacentral:rRNA from 1 species
AUUGAACGCUGGCGGCAGGCCUAACACAUGCAAGUCGAACGAGUGGCGGACGGGUGAGUAAUGUCUGGGAAACUGCCCGAUGGAGGGGGAUAACUACUGGAAACGGUAGCUAAUACCGCAUACCAUCGGAUGUGCCCAGAUGGGAUUAGCGUGUAGGUGAGGUAACGGCUCACCUAGGCGACGAUCCCUAGCUGGUCUGAGAGGAUGACGAGCCAAACUGUAACGGAGACACGGUCCAGCCUCCUACGAGAGGCAGCAGUGGGGAAGAUGGCACAAUGGGCGCAAGCCUGAUGCAGCCAUGCCGCGUGUAUGAAGAAGGCCUUCGGGUUGUAAAGUACUUUCAGCGGGGAGGCGUUACCCGCAGCAGAAUCCCCGGCUAACUCCGGGCCAGCAGCCGCGGUAAUAC